CGACCGGCGCACGGGUGCGUAACGCGUAUGCAACCUACCUUUAACAGGGGGAUAACACUGAGAAAUUGGUACUAAUACCCCAUAAUAUCAUAGAAGGCAUCUUUUAUGGUUGAAAAUUCCGAUGGUUAGAGAUGGGCAUGCGUUGUAUUAGCUAGUUGGUGGGGUAACGGCUCACCAAGGCGACGAUACAUAGGGGGACUGAGAGGUUAACCCCCCACACUGGUACUGAGGCACGGACCAG
rnacentral:rRNA from 1 species